AUGUAAUUGGAAGUGGGCACGACUCCUGGAAAGUAGCCCUCCGCAAUAAGUAUAAAAACCUAAGAAGGAAGCUGGAUGAUCAUGAAGAUGUGUUAGCAAGUCGCCAGAAAUUCGGUGCCCAAAAGAAAACAGGAGGCACCACUGAGCUUCAAAGGAAAAAAGCUGGGAAAAUGAGUGUGAGCAUCACAGAUCUAACAGCAGAAGAUGAUGACAGUAUUGCCAAACAUGAAGAUCGACUUGUUUUGGAAACCAAAAAACUAUUGCCGGAUGAGCAACUCGUGGAAAAGUUAAUGGCCUUGACAGCUGGGAAGAGGCUUCCUGACGUUGCGACGAAAACCGUUCAUGAUGUGAAAAAGAACUACCCCUAUAUGAUGG